UGCGAGGUAGUUCAGCGGUAGAACAGGGGUUUCAUACGCCUCAUGUCGGCAGUUCGAUUCUGCCCUUCGCAA
rfam:Cronobacter phage CR3, complete genome.